GGCCGAGUGGCGAAACUGGCAGACGCACGGGACUUAAAAUCCCGUGGAGAGCGAUCUCCGUGCGGGUUCGAUCCCCGCCUUGGCCA
rnacentral:tRNA from 2 species